AGCUCCAAAAGUGUAUAUUUAAGUUGUUGCGGUUGAAAAGCUCGUAGUUGGAUAUAGGGACGGCGAGGUUGGUCGGUCGAAAGGCUAGCACUGGCCUCGUUGUUCUUGUUGGUCGGUGCCUUCGCGGUGCUCUUAACUGAGUGUUGCGGUGGUCCGGCAAGUUUACCUUGAAAAAAUUAGAGUGUUCAAAGCAGGCUUUACGCUUGUAUAAUGUUGCAUGGAAUAAUGGAAUAGGACCUCGGUUCUAUUUUGUUGGUUUUCGGAGCACGAGGUAAUGAUUAAUAGGAACGGACGGGGGCAUCCGUACUGUGCCGUUAGAGGUGAAAUUCUUGGAUCGGCGCAAGACGAACGACUGCGAAAGCAUUUGCCAAGAAUGUUUUCU
rnacentral:rRNA from 1 species